UUCAACCUUUAUUAAUAUGUCAUCUAUUUUUAAAAAUAGUGAGACUGCUCCAAACAACAGAUGCAUGAGAGAUACCUGAAAAUUAAAAGGGCAAAGUAAUUACACUAGAUUCCUGUGAAAAUACAAACACAAACCAGUUUAGGACAAAUUCAAUCAAGAGGUAUAGUAUAGUUUGAAGCUACUUCCACUUCCCCUAACUUCAUCUGAAGAAAAAGGAGGAAAACGGAAAGGCAGAAGUAAAAGUCAAGCAAAGACGCCGCAGGGAUUUGAACCCUGUCCUGGAAGCCAGGAGUGCCAACCACCAGCAUCUUUUGCUUUUUUUUUUAAAGCUAGGUAAAGGCCAAAAAGCAAAACCUGAGAAAACAAAGUAUUUUGUUUUCUCAGGAAAAGAAAAACCUUUAAAUUUUAAGACCCUACUGAAGAGCACUGGAGAAUCUGCUUCAGCUAAGAUGCUAGCUUGGCCAAGUCUGUUAUGUUCACCUGAAAAAGUCUUAGCAGAGAGUUUUUGCAUUCCCACCCAACAGCCCUCAACUGCUAAAAUGCCUAUCUCCUUCAGUUUGCUAUACUUUCCCACCCAACAGUAUAGUUCUUACAUGUUAUUUCUCCAUUUACUGGUUCAAGUUUGUUUUCAGCACUGGACAGAAAUAAUGCUACACAUUUAAAACAUCUGAGAGCUUUUUAGUUGUGGUCUUAAUGUCAUUAAACGUUUACAGGCAAAUUAACGGUCUUUUCUAACAGUGCAACCCACCCAAGACCUCGGCACCAGUUACCUUAAACUGCUUAUGGAUCAUGCCCACAAGGAUCCAAGCUACCGACAGCAUCGAGGUGAGGGGUGAAGGGUCUGCGCUAGGCCAAAGGCAGGGGGUGACGAUGUGGCAGAGAAGUCACUUGUGGGGAGACCUUGCUUUUUAACAGGUUUCUGGAAAAGCUAGGGAGAAGUGGUUGCCCGCUUUCCCCCUUUCCCUCCCCUUCAAGCACCACUCAGGUCUGGGCUUCAUCAAGGGCUGCUCUAAAAACAGCCCAGGGAGGCGUUACACAGGCCGGGGGUACGCAAGGUACGCAGGCAUUCCUUUGGAUGCUUCACUCCCCAGAGGCAGUUGAGGCAAGUCCUCAUGUCUAACCGAAGGUGGGGUUGUGAGGCUGACACCACUUAGAUUGACCUUAGUUUAAUAGCGCUUUGUUGUCUCUCUUGCCACAGGAAGGCGCCAGGGUUGUCCUACUUUAAGCCUUCGGGUGCCUUUAUUGAGGGGUACCUGAAAAAUCUUAAAAAAAGGCUUAGCGCCCACCUCACCCCUCCACCCCCAGGCCAACAAACUUGCUCAUGCUGUUUAUUCCAGCAUAAAGCUGAAAUGAAAGGCCAUUUGACACUAAUUUACCCGGAACAGAUCUGACUUGGUAUGUAAACGUAGAAAAAGCUUGUUCACCUGUUGUCCUCAUUUUGUCCCCUGGUGAAUUCAACUGGAAGCUCCUUCUAGUCUGAAGAGUACCAUCUGAAAGAACUAGUGGUUCCCAAUCCCCACAUUUAAAUGGAAUGUUUGGUUUGUUUAUUAAAAGCAAAUGAACUAUUUUUUUUUCCUUACUGGGUCUGGCUUCUCUGGCCCUUCAUCUGUUGUUCUGAAUGUUCCUGUGUAUAAGAAUUGAGACCAAGGGAGGGAAGAGAGAAACCUGCACACACAAUGCACUAAGACCACUGAACUGAUGUUAAAACGUUUCCACUUGCCAGUUAAACUUCUUGAAGUCUGUUGUUCGUUUGGAACUUAUUUCUUGUCACUGAUUUUAAAGUUGCAUCUGGAAAAGACUAAAGGCUUCAGUGCCCUCCCCACCCCCCCUACCAGAAGUGAACAAAAAGCAUUUUACCUAAAGCACAGCAAAAAGGACUGCUUCAAUCACAAACAUGAAUGCUUAAAGCUGCAGAAAUUUCCUCAACACUCAGCCUUUUAUCACUCAGUGGAUUUUCCUUCAACAAUCACUACUCCAAGCAUUGGGGGAAACAUAACUUUUAAUCAUACUCCAGUCGUUUCACAAUGCAUUCUAAUAGCAGCAGGUCAGAACAGUACUGCAUUAUUACUUGCCAACAGAACAGACAGACCUGAGGUCAAGACAACUGCAUUCUGUGUAGUCUGCAAAAAAAAAGCUAAAAACAAGUAAGCCCCACCCUCUCCUCCCUUCCCUCCAAAAUCAGGGGGAAAAAAAUUUUUACUUGAGUAUGCUGAAAACUCACUGCAAGGUCUCACACACCCACUAGGAGAACAGAAGGCAGAGCCAAGCGUUUAUAUGCAAGUCAAAAUCCUGAACAGCCUCAUGAAGGAUGAAACGAAGCCUCUGCAAAGGAAAGUUCUUUAAAAAACCCACAUGCCCCCCACCAAGUGUCUAUAUAAAAGGCUAAUAAGUGUAAAGCAUUGGCUAACACUAGAUGAGAUGGUAAGCAUUUCAAUUUAACAUGCAAACUUUGGAAAUGUGGACCGCAUUAUACUUCAGUACUGUCAAUUUCGACUCCUGACUUUCUGAAAAAUGCGUAGGUGUAGUUACCUGUUCUUCUGAUCAUAAUCUCCCACCUGCCUAAUAAGUAUUUAUUCCUUAUUUAUUUAGAGGGUCUCUAUGGCCAUGUGCCUGGAAUUAUUAAAUGGUCAUCAAUUUUACGAAGGAUAAAAUUUGUCUUUCCUGCCUUAAGUUAAAUUCGUUCUUCAGCUCAAUUCCUGAUCUUGUCCAUUACAGAGUGUUCGCAGACAAAGUCUCUGAAAGAUGAGAAGAAUCCCCCCAAGAUUGCCCAACACUAACUACAGACAAACAAUAUUUUAUUUAAAUAAGGAGACAGCUUUCUAAAAGCAUACAUUCGCUAAAUAAAGUAUUUUAUUUUGAGUGAUUUUACGGUUUUCUGCACAAUACACAUAACAUUUAAAUUUUAGCAAGGUUAACAUAUCUGAUUCUGGUUAACAGCACAUUAUGCUAUCUUUUCAUAGGGUUUUCAAGAAUCAAUGCUAAACAAAUUUUUAUUUUAUCAACAUUAUCCUUGAUUAUUAAGGUAUUAAUCUCAAGAGGCUUUAAGGAAUUACUUGCCUCGAGUGAAGUGAGUUAGCCCAUCAUGGAAGCCCACAGGCAUAAGGCCUGUCUCAUUUUAAAAGGCUGGAUGGGAAAAUUCCUCAAAAUCCUGAGAUCCCUUGAGUAAGGGACCUAGGACCUCCACAGCUCUUAUUAAACAUAGCACUUAUCCCUAACAUGCAAUACUGCAGAUGCAAGUUAAACUUAUCUGUGAACAGCUGCCUGCUGUUUUCUGCUCCCAGAUGAUAUGAAGCAACUCUUCUGAUAAUGAGAAACCUGUCUGAGGCAAACGAAAGAUUGGCAAACAGCACAGCUUCCUCUCAAUCCACUUGAUCCCACUCCUUUCAAUUAUUUCAGCUUCUUUUAUUCCAGGGUUAAUGUGUAGCUUUAUCAUUUUCAUUUCAUUUCAUUUUUUAUUCUGCUUUUGUAAAAGCAGUAUUUUGAGGUGGGCAUUAGAUCUUCAUGGUAUUUCUCAUCAUUUCAUUAUUUUAUUUCUCAUCGAUUCAUUAUUUUUGUGGAUACAGCUUGAUAUGCCAUAACUUUAAGAGUAGAUUCCAUUAACUUUAAAUUGGUAGCUUUCAUUUGCUUAAAUUUUUUUUUUGCAUAUGCAGACCAUGAGUUCAUCAGUAGUAAGGAUUUCAGAGUUAUGCUUUUGCCCAAUGAAGAUAGGUAUGAAAUAUAAUCUUUUCUGCCUUUACUUAUCAUUCACCAAGGAGCUGUUCCCCUCUCCAUCUAGGCCAUCAUAUUGCCAGGCUGGGUAUGACUCAGAAGAUGUUAUCUGAAAAAAGUCUACAGAAAAAAAAGGUUUCCCCCCCAUCAACAAAAACCCACCCCUUUUAAUUGAUUAUGAUUUACAAAUACUUAGGUGCAAAUUCAAUACACAAUUUACAACAAUUUUGAAGCAUACCUUUACAUCUUGUCUCGCAGCCAUACAAAAAUUUCCUAUACUAAAAAACUUGCUUAUGUAACUGAAAAUAGAAUCUUACUUGAUAAUAUAAAAGCUACCAUCAGAAGAAAUCCCUUCAGGAUCAUUAAGCCACUUCCUUUGCUCUGAAGCUCCUAUAGUAGUAUUAAGUUUUAUUAAAUCACCUGAAAAAAAUUCCAAAAGAGAACCACACACUACCAUAUCCAAACAACUUUAGUGUUUAAACAAUUCCCCAAGUUUUUAUCUUGGUCAACCCAGUGGGCUAGACCAACCCCCAAUCCAACACUUUCCUUUCCCAAGCCCUACACUUUAAAUCCAGUGAAUCUUUGAAGUUCCCAGCUGUCCAGUUCAAAAAUUGGGGUAAAACAAGAAACUAGAGGAUCAGGAGUUACUUGCCAACUUGGGAGGUGAGAUUUCUUUAGUUUUUCCAUCCUAAGUAUUUAAGUUCUCUGGCAUGAGUUAUCUGAAAUCAUAAACUAAACAAUUACCUAAACCCAACCCACCCAACCCCAACCAAAACAGGCCACUGCCAACUAAUUGCCAAAACUUGCCCCUCCCCUUUAAAAGGCAUCUUAAAAAGUUCCAUUAUUUGAAAACUUAACUUCAAUAUUUGGCCUAGUCAAGCUCUUCUGAAGUUCUCCUGAGAUGACUGAAUAUGAACCAAAGCUGCACUGUGCUGUAUAUUUCAGCUUCACUGGGAAUACUCCAAGGAAAAAAGCAGCUCCAAUCCCUGAAGGUGUUUGGUGCCAACAGCAUAGCAGUACAAUCCUUCUCUAACUCAGUUUGUCAAUAGUACUAUAGCAUCUGUGGAAAGUCUUAGAAAAAAACAUUUUCUCCCCCACCCUCUUCCCUGUUAAGACCACCCCAAAAUACUUCAAGUAAAAAUAACCGGUUACAUACUUUAAUUAAAAAAAAAAUCUGAUUAAGGGGUGGAAAAAGUACCAGCCAUUUCUCCACUGGAGUUCCAUCACAGACCUUAAGUGAGAGCUGCUCGUGUUCUAGUUUCUACAAACUGUAAACCUGUGGUGUUCUGAUUAUCCUGAUACUGGAUUUUCUUUUUUCCUGUUACCUUGAGUCAUUUGCCUUUGGAAUUCUAGACAGACCUAAGGGGAAAAGAACUCAAAACAUAUUUUGCCCCCCCAAAACCUUUACCCCCCCGAAUUACACACCCAACUAUAUAUAUAUAGGUAACUUAGAAUAGAGAAUGAGAAAGAAAAUUAAGUCAUCUACUCACAAAACGGAAAUGCUUCAUUACCAAGCUAAAUAUAAAACCUGCUUACAAAGCUGGCUGAAACUGUCUCAAGGUUGUUCUAUCAAAUUCAUUUGUUUUCCCUCAUAUUGGUUAAAAACGAAAACACUUGCCAUCUACUAUUCCUCCGGGCCUUGGUAGUCUGCCCUCAAAAGCUUCAGACAAGAUGAGAAAAUACGCCUGAAAAAGAGAAACCUACAACACCCGAAAAUCGGCCUACAUCCCCAUAAAACCCUUUAUGCUUAAGUACACAGCUCCCCCAUCACCAUUAGGAAAUACAACAAAGAUUACCGUACUGUUACCAAAAAAAGGUGAAGAAACAAAGCAGAACCCACGAUACUGCCGACCUCACGGAUUUUUACCACACCACUGGCUCUCCCUGCCGGCCUUGCACACUGGGCUGCCGCUCUAGGACGCUCUAUCUAGCCUCCACACCGCCUGCUCGCCUCCUCCGCGGGGUUGCCAAGCCACGCCGCCAAGCCGCACGCUAGCUUCAUCACCACAUCGCACUGGCUUCCUCCUUCCUGGAAUCCUCUCCUAGCUUCACCUCCAACCGUUAGGGCUCCUUCCUUCUUCCUAGCUUCCUUCACCAAAUCGCACUGGCUCCCGGGCUCCUCCUUCCUAUCUUCACGAACUGCCGCUCGCUCCUCAGUCCUAGUUUCACCAAAAACUGGCUCCUGGAAUCCUGUCUGCUGCUGUCUUCCUAGGUUCUCUGAAUCCACUUCUGUGUAGCACCUGGUCAGCUGUUAAUUAGCGCCUAGUCCUCAGGGUUUAGAAAUUCAUCUUAGCUCAAAGUCCAAUGCAAAAAAUGUUAACUUGGUUAUCCUCGCUCUUGAAUUUAUCGUCCUUUAAGUUUUCCAGAAGAAACUAAACUACUGUAUGGAUUUAAGGCCUUUCAAAUUUUUAACUCUUCCGUCUACCUUAAUUUUUACAUCAGUCUUUUUAGUAGCUUUUUGCUGUGAUUUUAAAUUUACUUCCCUCUACAGCUUCGAGAUAUUCUUCUAAGUUGGUCUUGGUCUACUGUAGUUUAAAACCCUCUUCUCAGAUCUAACUUCUGCACCACCACAAAUUAAAGUUGAUGGGCUUUUUAAAUAAAUUGAACUAUUAAAAAUUAUUUUUCUUAGUUUUGCGUCUUGUACUUAUCCAAUUUUUUGGCUUCGGACUUUUCUAUCUUCCAAUUACUUGGACCUCUAUCUUGUAUGCUUGUCUCCAACAGCUUGUUUCUCAUUUUCUACCUCAAACACUCGAACAUCUUUUCAACCUUCUCUUUCUAGAUGUCUUCUGCCUCCUACCUUCUGGGCUUAGUUUUUUUCUGUCUUCUAAAAGCCGUAUUUUUUAUCUUCUAGUUUUCCUAUCUUCACUAAUCUUUUCUUCACCUUCCUGUACUUGUCUUCCGAGUUUUCCACUUCAAAUUUCUAAUCUUCUUUCUCCACUAAUACUUCCAUCAACUUCCAAAGAAAGCCUUAAGGCUUCAAAUGACGCAGUUUUGAUCGCGCCGUGAAUUUGAAGGCAUUUCUUAAAUCACCUUCAACUGACCUUUAAAGAUGGCUUUUAAAACAUUUUAAUCCAUCUACGACUGGACUUUAAAAGUAUUGUUUAGGUUCUAUUUAUAGCAUUACGUUUGAACAAUAAUCUAAAAAGCUGCCCUUCAAUUUAAGACUUUAAAAUUCCAUACUUUGCAGUCCUGUCUCGGCAACUCCUUUUAAAAUUAGCUUUCUCACUCCAUGAAGAAGCUUCAGCUCUUAACCUCCGUCAUGUUCUAAUAUUAUCUUUUUUCUUCUUUCUUCCUUUCUCACACUAUUUUUUAAGGACGUCUCCAUUUUCCCCUAAAAUAAGACCUUCUUAUUAAUUAUCAAAUCUACUCUCACGAAUUUAACUCAAAACUACAGCUCAGUAUUUUCGCUAAUUUAUAAUUCCUAGAGAAUAAGAGUAAUCCCUAUCUUAACAGAAAAACUUAUCUGCGGUCUCCUCAAGAAGCGUUUCCUGCCUCUCAGCCGUCUCUGCUCUCGCUGCCUCAAUGCCUGCCUCCCGACCCGCAGCGCGCGGCGUAUUUAUAGCCCAAGGACACCUCACACCCCCGUCAUCCAAUAACCCUCCGCCGCCUUUGUGAGGGAAGCAAAAAUAGUUCCUCGGAAGGAGUUAAAAAUAGAAUCUGGUUUAUAAGACUCUAGGUUUUUCCUUAACAGUUUAUAUAACUUGCUCGCAAACUCUGUACCCAGAUGUUUAAGUAGAUUUGAACUGAAAACUUGAGUAAAAACAAUGGAAACCACGUUUAAACAGACCAUCAAACAGCUGACAAAAACUCAGAAUUACUUGGAAAUGUUUUAGUAGCUUUUAAAAUACCUUCUGUGUUUCCUUGGAGUACAGUAGGUACAAUUUAGUGCUUUGGAGGCUAGGAAAGUAAAACUAAGUUUGCUGAUGGCCUUCAUUUCCAUUAUGUAACCGAGCUUCAGCCUCACAAAUAGAGCGGAGCCAUCUUAGAAGGACCGAAGGGUGGGAGUUUCGCCCCCAUGGGCCGCAGGUCCUGAGGAUUAUACCACACCGUCUUGAUUGCCAUUUUAUUCGUGAGAUCCGAUCAGCCCAGGUGAUCUAUGUAAGAAUUGGACUAAAUGUGGAAAUCCACUUCUGGAAAAUGUCUGACAGCCACUCUUUACCACUGUUGCCUGCAACAGAGCUGGUCACGCAUCGCAAGGGAUUAGGACCAAAAUUGAGGCAUCCAGCACCCCGUGUUUCCCACCUGGGUGGAAAAGCGGAGGGAAGCGCCAGGGCGGAACUGGCUGCUGUGUCUCAAGGACUCUAGGAGAAGCCUCGGUCCCCAGGGCGGCAAAGGGGACCCGAGUGAGGCUUGAGGACUUAGAAAUGACAAUGGCGCCAGGGAGCGUCCCAGAUACCGGCUUCCAAGCGGCUAAAGCGGCUGAGGCGCGAAGAAGAAGCAGCUGCCUCGCUUCAGAUAGACGGGCACUUGCUGUCCCCUGCCGAGCCUGGAACAGGCUGCUCGCCGGGACCACGGCCUCCUACUGCCUCCUCUCACCACCUUCAAGAGACACCAUCUCCUAAAGACUCAAAGGUGAAAAGCAAAACCUGAACGCGGCCAUGAGCCGCAUCCAGGAAAAGAAACACCUACGACGGCUCUGCGCCUCCCCCCGCCCCAUUGCAUGCCUCCCUCCUGACACCCCUUCAAAGGCACACGGGGACACAGGUCCCCGCAGCCUCGUGGCCACUGCUUCUCAUCACGCUGGCUGCACAUCCCAGCCGCAGGAGCACCAAGUCAGACGGGGAAACAACCGCACGGCCCGGCCCUGCUGCUCAGGACAGGCUCAGCGCUGACAAGACUGGUGGUGGAGAGAAAUUGCCAAGAUGCUAAGAAACUUGAGAGGCCACCUCUGCAGCAGGACUGGGACGGGUGAGGGGAAAAGAACUUACUUUCAUUUUAUACUUUUUCCAUGGCUAGAAUUUUAAACUCUCCAUAGGUUACUUUUAUAAUUAAAGGCAGCAAUCUGGUUUUCUCAUCAGGACAGGAACUCAGGAGCUAGGGGGGAAGCCUUGAGCCCUCUGGCCUGGCUCAAAGGCCAACGGCCCUCCAGGCUGCUGUGCCCCGACCACGCUGGGUCACACAGAUGGGCCCACCUGCCUCGCCUGCUGUCCUGUCCUGCUCUCCUGCCAUCGCCGGCUGUGGAUUCCUUCCUGGGAACAGCCAGUGCUUGAAACAAAGUCGGAAGCACAGCGGCCCCACCAGUGUCUCGUCUCACCCCGGGUCUGAGUUUUGGGGAGGGCGGGUCCAGGUCCGCAGGGCCCCUGGCCAGCACCUGCCCCCAGGCCUCCCUCCCAGCCCACUGCCCGCAGCACCCACUGCUCCCAGCCCAGGCCCUGCCUCCCUUGGGCCCACGGCGGGUCCAGUGGGUGCACCCCCUGCUCCCCACUGUGGAGAGCUUCACAGUCCUUGUCCGGGAGUCCUGCCCUGGCCCCUCCUGUUAGCCCUGAGGAGCUCAGAAGCCCCUUCCCAGCAAGGUCCAGGUGAGAAGCUGAGGCUCAGAGAGGGCUGAGAGCUGCUGGGGGUCACGCGGACCAUCAGGCAGCAGUGGGUCCUCUACUCAAUCUGAGGAACGUGAGCAGAGCCAACCCCACCUCACACACACACCCCAACCCCAAGGUCUGGGGGACCCGCAGGUGAGCUCAGAGCCAGGCCUGUGGCCCAGCCUCCGCCCCCUCAUCCCAACCCCCUCACGUCCCUGCCCUGCCUCCCAGCCCAUCUCCCCUCCCAGCCCCCUUCGGCUUCGUCCCCCAAACACAACACAAAGGGCAGGCACUUACUUAUUGCAGCAGGAGAGGGGACACGUGCACGGCCAUCUAAGUCCCAACCUGAUGACGAAGCCACAAAGCUCUGACCUUAAAAGGCCUCAGAAAUGAGGGUAGUAAAAACACUCUGUAAGAUGAGCAAAGAAUUAGUUUGACACGUUAGUGACAAGGCCCUCGCUACCUGUCCUUAAGAAAGCGAGACAGUGAUCUACACACGGAAACACGCCACGCUGGCUACAAGGGUGCAAGUUAAAAUGGCGUCAAGAAGCCACCCCCUGCUCGUAGUCCACGAGCAAAUACAUAAGGGAAUUUGCCCAGACACGUUUGUGACUGUGAUUUGUCAUUACAAGAUGCUGGACCCACAGGGCAGCAGUGACAGGCUCACACCUUGGAAUGCCCUCGAGGCCGGUGAUCUCAGCAGGGUACCCGGGCCUGCAACACGACCCAAAGUGGGAAGAGCCCAGUAUCUGCCAAUCCCGCCCAGUCCAGUCCCGCCCGGGUAGCAUAAACAUUCACACAGGGACGGAAAGCAGAGAGAGAGAUGACCCGACAGGUACUUCAGUCAAAUGCAAACGAGACGGCCAGGCCAGGGUGGGGUAGGGGGUGGGGGCAGGUCCCCCCUGUCCGCGUCGCACAAGGUGAACUCCCAGCAGAAAGCAGGCCACACAGGAGGUGUCUCAACGUUCCCACAAUGCUGCAGCAAAACACAUCGAACAAGCAGGUGAGCCGUCGCGGGCCAGGCCGGGGGACCAGA